AUUGAACGCUGGCGGCAUGCCUUACACAUGCAAGUCGAGCGGGUGUAGCAAUACAUCAGUGGCAGACGGGUGAGUAACACGUGGGAACCUUCCUAGGGGUACGGAACAACUCAGGGAAACUUGAGCUAAUACCGUAUACGUCCGUGAGGAGAAAGAUUUAUCGCCCUUAGACGGGCCCGCGUCGGAUUAGCUAGUUGGUGGGGUAACGGCCUACCAAGGCGACGAUCCGUAGCUGAUCUUAGAGGAUGAUCAGCCACACUGGGACUGAGACACGGCCCAGACUCCUACGGGAGGCAGCAGUGGGGAAUCUUGGACAAUGGGCGCAAGCCUGAUCCAGCCAUGCCGCGUGAGUGAAGAAGGUCUUCGGAUUGUAAAGCUCUUUUGCCAGGGACGAUAAUGACGGUACCUGGAGAAUAAGCCCCGGCAAACUUCGUGCCAGCAGCCGCCGCGGUAA
rnacentral:rRNA from 1 species